GUACACUCCUACGGGAGGCAGCAGUGGGGAAUUUUGGACAAUGGGCGAAAGCCUGAUCCAGCAAUGCCGCGUGAGUGAAGAAGGCCUUCGGGUUGUAAAGCUCUUUUGUCAGGGAAGAAACGGUGAAAGCUAAUAUCUUUUGCUAAUGACGGUACCUGAAGAAUAAGCACCGGCUAACUACGUGCCAGCAGCCGCGGUAAUACGUAGGGUGCAAGCGUUAAUCGGAAUUACUGGGCGUAAAGCGUGCGCAGGCGGUUUUGUAAGUCUGAUGUGAAAUCCCCGGGCUCAACCUGGGAAUUGCAUUGGAGACUGCAAGGCUAGAAUCUGGCAGAGGGGGGUAGAAUUCCACGUGUAGCAGUGAAAUGCGUAGAUAUGUGGAGGAACACCGAUGGCGAAGGCAGCCCCCUGGGUCAAGAUUGACGCUCAUGCACGAAAGCGUGGGGAGCAAACAGGAUUAGAUACCCCUGUAGUCCC
rnacentral:rRNA from 1 species